AAACUGAAGAUACUUGAGACAGUUUAUUAAAAAGAUAGUUUAUAAAGACUGUACCGUUCAUGUAUACAUGCGAGCGCCAUCUUAGGGAAACAGUCAUGACCAGUCGAACGCCGUGUAACCAGUAACCAGUAACAUAGCUCAAACACGGCGUUCGUUGUUCGACUGGUCAUGCCUGUUUUCCCAAGCUGGUGCCUGCCUGUAUACCGAACGGUACAGUCUUUCCGGAUUUCUCCUUUAAGAGAAAUGCAGAUUGCAGCUUCAUACAAUAGACACACACA